rnacentral:rRNA from 1 species
GUCCACGCCCUAACGAUGUCAACUGGUUGUUGGGUCUUCACUGACUCAGUAACGAAGCUAACGCGUGAAGUUGACCGCCUGGGGAGUACGGCCGCAAGGUUGAACUCAAAGGAAUUGACGGGACCCGCACAAGCGGUGGAUGAUGUGGUUUAAUUCGAUGCAACGCGAAACCUUACCCACCUUUGACAUGUACGGAAGUCGCUAGAGAUAGCUUUCGUGCUCGAAAGAGAGCCGUAACACAGGUGCUGCAUGGCUGUCGU